CUACGGGGCGCAGCAGUAAGGAAUAUUGCGCAAUGGAGGCAACUCUGACGCAGCCAUGCCGCGUGCAGGAAGAAGGCCUUAUGGGUCGUAAACUGCUUUUAUUUAGGAAUAAACCCCCGAACGUGUUCGGGGCUGAAGGUACUAAACGAAUAAGCACCGGCUAACUCCGUGCCAGCAGCCGCGGUAAUACGGAGGGUGCAAGCGUUAUCCGGAUUUAUUGGGUUUAAAGGGUGCGCAGGCGGGCUAUUAAGUCAGUGGUGAAAUCCCGGGGCUCAACUCCGGAACUGCCAUUGAUACUGAUAGUCUUGAGUUUGGUUGAAGUGGGCGGAAUAUAGCAUGUAGCGGUGAAAUGCAUAGAUAUGCUACAGAACACCAAUCGCGAAGGCAGCUCACUAAGCCAAAACUGACGCUCAUGCACGAAAGCGUGGGGAUCAAACAGGAUUAGAUACCCUCGUAGUC
rnacentral:rRNA from 1 species